rnacentral:rRNA from 1 species
GAUGAACGCUGGCGGCGUGCCUAAUACAUGCAAGUCGAGCGAACAGAUGAGGAGCUUGCUCCUCUGCCGUUAGCGGCGGACGGGUGAGUAACACGUGGAUAACCUACCUAUAAGACUGGGAUAAUUUCGGGAAACCGGUGCUAAUACCGGAUAAUAUAUUGAACCGCAUGAUUCAAUAGUGAAAGACGGUUUUGCUGUCACUUAUAGAUGGAUCCGCGCCGCAUUAGCUAGUUGGUAAGGUAACGGCUUACCAAGGCAACGAUGCGUAGCUGACCUGAGAGGCUGAUCGGCCACACUGGAACUGAGACACGGUCCAGACUCCUACGGGAGGCAGCAGUAGGGAAUCUUGCGCAAUGGGCGCAAGCUUGACGGAGCAAUGCCGCGUGAGUGAUGAAGGACUUCGGGUCGUAAAACCCUGUUAUUAGGGAAGAACAAAAGUAUAAGUAACACUGCCCGUCUUGACGGUACCUAAACAAAAAGCAACGGCUAACUGCGUG